GCCGAGACUUCGUUGGUUUAAGCCUUCGGGCUUUAUACGUCUGAUUUUGCUCGGUGCCUAAUGCCUGAAUCAGAAGAGAAUCAAAGAGAGGGCAACUGAUAUUAUUAAAAUAUCAUGGAGUGGGUUUCUCUGGAACUCAAACUAAUUUCUUGCAGAGGUUUGAAAGCCUUCAAUUUCUUUCAUAAGCUAUCGGUCUAUGCAGUGGUCUCCAUUUCUAAUGAUGAUUUCAAGGGGAAGAACCAGCAGCAACAAUGUCUCCAGCGUCAAAAGACCCCAGUUGACGGAGAAGGUGGCGGAAAACCCGAAUGGAAUCACAUGAUGCAUUUUGAUCUCAAAUCCAUCUCCCUCCCUGAUCAGGGCGAUCAUCUAUUU
rnacentral:misc_RNA from 1 species